rnacentral:rRNA from 1 species
UUCGGGGUACACGAGCGGCGAACGGGUGAGUAACACGUGAGCAACCUGCCCCUGACUUCGGGAUAAGCGGUGGAAACGCCGUCUAAUACCGGAUACGACCUGUGGUCUCAUGAUCGCGGGUGGAAAGUUUCUCGGUUGGGGAUGGGCUCGCGGCCUAUCAGCUUGUUGGUGGGGUAACGGCCUACCAAGGCGAUUACGGGUAGCCGGCCUGAGAGGGCGACCGGCCACACUGGGACUGAGACACGGCCCAUACUCCUACGGGAGGCAGCAGUGGGGAAUAUUGCGCAAUGGGCGAAAGCCUGACGCAGCGACGCCGCGUGGGGGAUGACGGCCUUCGGGUUGUAAACCUCUUUUACCACCAACGCAGGCCCGGGGUUCUCUUCGGGUUGACGGUAGGUGGGGAAUAAGGACCGGCUAACUACGUGCCAGCAGCCGCGGUAAUACGUAGGGUCCGAGCGUUGUCCGGAAUUAUUGGGCGUAAAGAGCUCGUAGGCGGCGUGUCGCGUCUGCUGUGAAAGACCGGGGCUUAACUCCGGUUCUGCAGUGGAUACGGGCAUGCUAGAGGUAGGUAGGGGAGACUGGAAUUCCUGGUGUAGCGGUGAAAUGCGCAGAUAUCAGGAGGAACACCGGUGGCGAAGGCGGGUCUCUGGGCCUUACCUGACGCUGAGGAGCGAAAGCAUGGGGAGCGAACAGGAUUAGAUACCCUGGUAGUCCAUGCCGUAAACGUUGGGCGCUAGGUGUGGGGACUUUCCACGGUUUCCGCGCCGUAGCUAACGCAUU